GAUGAACGCUGGCGGCGUGCCUAAUACGUGCAAGUCGAGCGAACGGACGAGAAGCUUGCUUCUCUGAUGUUAGCGGCGGACGGGUGAGUAACACGUGGAUAACCUACCUAUAAGACUGGGAUAACUUCGGGAAACCGGAGCUAAUACCGGAUAAUAUUUUGAACCGCAUGGUUCAAAAGUGAAAGACGGUCUUGCUGUCACUUAUAGAUGGAUCCGCGCUGCAUUAGCUAGUUGGUAAGGUAACGGCUUACCAAGGCAACGAUGCAUAGCCGACCUGAGAGGGUGAUCGGCCACACUGGAACGGAGACACGGUCCAGACUCCUACGGGAGGCAGCAGUAGGGAAUCUUCCGCAAUGGGCGAAAGCCUGACGGAGCAACGCCGCGUGAGUGAUGAAGGUCUUCGGAUCGUAAAACUCUGUUAUUAGGGAAGAACAUAUGCGUAAGUAACUGUGCACAUCUUGACGGUACCUAAUCAGAAAGCCACGGCUAACUACGUG
rnacentral:rRNA from 1 species